rnacentral:rRNA from 1 species
UACAGAGGGUGCGAGCGUUGUUCGGAAUUAUUGGGCGUAAAGAGCUCGUAGGCGGUUUGUUGCGUCGGCCGUGAAAACCUGCAGCUUAACUGUGGGCCUGCGGCCGAUACGGGCAGACUUGAGUUCGGUAGGGGAGACUGGAAUUCCUGGUGUAGCGGUGAAAUGCGCAGAUAUCAGGAGGAACACCGGUGGCGAAGGCGGGUCUCUGGGCCGAUACUGACGCUGAGGAGCGAAAGCGUGGGGAGCGAACAGG